rnacentral:lncRNA from 1 species
GAAGAGGGCAAUGCCAAAUAUCAAUAUUAAAUUGUGGUAGGAAGGCCUAACUUCUGAAAAAUUAGGAGAACCCCUGAUUACAUAACAAAAGGGCGACUCAAAUAUUAUAGAGAGAGUAGUAAUUAGCAAGUAGAACCUUUGAUGGAAGAUUACAGAGAAUUAGGAGUACCUUAUUGAAGCUGUUAUUGUUGUACAAUGUCAUUUAUUUCCACGUAGGGGAUGUGGCCAAUCUUGGGCCAAUCUUUUUGUUUGUCCUUGAGACACCUCUUUUCUAGAAUAGGACACUCCCAGAUUUCAAGUAUUGCAAGUGUUGCCCGCCCUUGGGCACAAAGGACCAGAGCUUAGGGCAAUUGUAGAGUUCAAGGCUUUUAAGAGAGAUGAGGCUUUGGAGACUUAUGGAGGCUAUGGAUUUCAAGUUGUAGAGAUUUACCAACCGGAGACAUGUGAUAGAUGUAGGAAGAAGAAGGUGAGAGCUGGGAAGUAAAAAGCAGAUCUGGGAAUGGGCCUUGAAUCAUGAGCUUAUCAAGAGAGGUGAGUGUGUGGAGGCCCCACCCAGAUAGAGGCCACCUCAUAUUCUCACAAUCUGAAAUACAAAGUUCUUCAAGGUUAGGGUUCAAAAAUGCUUCUGGAGAGGACAACACAUCUCGACAAUUACAUAUUUGCAAAACUUGAAGAGAUGUGAGAUUUUGCUGCAUAUUCCCUGGAAUCGACUCCAAUUGCUGGCAGUCCCAAAUGGAAAGGGUCUCAAGUGUCGAGGGAAAGUAACCUCUUGGAAUGGACUUGAGAGAUGGACAUCCCCAUACAUGUAGAUAUUCAAGAUGACAAGUGUUGUUGUUGUCAAUUCCCUCAGGUAGAGACUCUAGCUUCUCACAAUUUAUAAUUAUCAGCUUCUUAAGGGUGGCGGGUAGCUCACCUUUCGGAAAGCCAAUAAGAGAUGGACAAUCUUUAAUUUUCAGGUACUCAAGGGCACAACUAUUUCCAUAUAUUGGGAGUACCUGGUUGAACUUGUUGUAGUUUUAAAAUGUCAUCUAUUUCCAUAUAGGGGAUGUGAGCAAUCUUAGGCUAAUAUUUUCCUUUGUCAUUGAGGCACCUCUCUUUUAGAAUAUGACAUCUCCCCAUUACAACUCUUGCAAGUGUUGGUGGUGGGUCAAUGUGGGUAGCUCACCUUCUAGAAAGCCAAUAAGAGACAUCUUUGAACCCCUAUUAAGACCACCUGCCCAUACCAAAUAAAAAGGGGGAAAAUGAGUAGAAAAAACUCAUAUCAUAUCAAAAACAGAACAAAUUAAAUAAUAAUAAUAAUAAUAAUAAUAAUAAUAAAAUCAUACUUUUUUGUGUCUUAAGGAUGUGAUUCACCAUAAAAUAUCAUGGAAACAUUGAUGAAACUUUAUAUAAUGCAUUACUCCAAAAUCAACGAAGAAUAGUGCAAAAGGUGAUUGAAUUUCUUUCACUUCACAAGAAUGGAACCUUUUAAGCCGUGCUACACACUAUAUAAUGGGGAAAUUAGUUUAUAAUUAUUAUAAAAAAAUAAAAAAUAAAAAUUUCAAAGUUAGCAAAGGCGUAGAAGCAAAAUUUGUCAUAUAAGGAGGGAAACAUGAUCUCUGCUCAUUCCCCUAUUAAGAGAAAAUAUGAAUCUUUCAAUGGAUGAAUAUGUCCUUUCUCUAUUCUUCUUGCAAUAAGGGUUGAAGCUUAGGACUCAUUCAGCCUUACACCAUCGCAAUUCUUUUAUGUGGAAAAGGACUGCAAUAGGAUAUUCUCCAUUGACCAAAUGUGAAGCAAAAAAGAAGAUAAGAAACAGAAGACAAAGUACAAUUAGGAGACAAGAAUUUACCAACUCAUUUACAAAAAUACUUAGAAACUCCCCUAUUAUACCAGCUCUCUGUAACUUCAUCAAUGCAUUUGUGAAAUGCUAAUCUGGAAAUAAAUUAUAUAACAUAAGGAGUGGAAAAUUAUAAAAUCAGACACCAACACAUAAAUAUGUGUUUGUGUAUACCAUCUUAAUGGAAAGAAAAACUAUUUACUUGUGGCCCCCUAUGCUUGCCAAGAUUUAGCUUAUUUAAUAUAGUCAGAAUCUGGUGUAUGAACCUCAUCCACAUCUUCAACACCUGAAGAAUAACCCUAAUGCAACAAUAAGUACAGAUUGCAUAAGUACGGAAUGCAAAGAGAAGUGAAAAUCAAGGGUAUAUGGAUUCUUUAUAGAUUAAUAUUCAAGGAAUAAAUUCUGAUUAUAUAUGUAUAUAUAUAAAUUGAAGCACUAAAUGAAAAGCACUAAUAACAUAACUAUUUGUCAUGUAUAUCGACAAAGAACAUGCAGGUGCAGCCAAACACAUGACAAAGAAUGGAAAAGAAGUAGGAAGAAUCUGAAAAAGCUUUAGAGUCAAAGCAAUGCUGGAGAUGCUACAUGGGCAGGCCUAAUUGAUUCUACCUCCACUAAAAUUCUUCUCGUUGUUAUCAAGUCCAAAAGAAUACACGUCCUGCUAUUCAAUAACUUUUGCCUUGCAUACUCCUUAAAUUCUAUAGAUUAAGAGGAUCCAAGGGUUGUCAUUUCAGUUUCUUUAACUCUUCCCUCUUUUCAAACUCCUCAUAGCAUGGAAAGGAUCCACUCUUCCCUCUCAAGGUUAGGCAAUUUCCUUCCCUUACAGAAAUUAUUUCACCCCUUAUCAAAUCCGUCUUCAGUAAAUUCAUCAGAUUAUUUUUUUAAUUUUACAAUCUUAACAUUCCUACCAUCACAAAUAUUCUUUACAAUUCACCAAUUUCUUGACAUGAUUCUCAGAGGCAUUUCUAGAGGGUCAUGAGGUUCAAUAUAAAGAGAAAAAAAUAAAAAAUAAAAGAAAAGGUGGGAAGUGGAGGGCAUGAGGUUCAAUCUCAUUUCCCUAUGUUGAUUGAACCAAUAAUUGCCCUCUAUUCAACCCUAAACUGAUUAUGAAAGAGGGCCUUUUAUCCCUAUUAGAUUGGGCAGAUUAAUGCUACAUGAAGUGAGCCUCCAAAUACAAAUGAGACUCCAAAUACAAACUGAUUAUGGAAGAGGGCCUAAGUAAUUAUUUUACAAAGACUAACUAGAGAUAUUAGUGGACUCUCUUCUUCAUCAGUUUGUAACAUGAAUCAUCAGGGUCAAGUCUUUUACUAAUCCACAACCUUCACCUUCUGGUAUCACAUGGGCAGAGCAUGCCCAUUGUAGCAAACAGUAUGAUAAAAAAAAAAAAAUUAUGUAGCACUAAGUCAAAAGAAUUCUGGUGCAGAAGCCUAAGCAACCAUAUAGAAAUAUGCAAAUGUAAAAGCUAGAAAGACAGUAAUAAAAUAUCACCUUACCUGGCUAGGUUACAAUCAUCAUGUGCCCCAAUUAGGGGAUUUUACCUUCAACAACUUACUUACAAAGACCUUAAUUUGAAAGAGCACAUUUUAAAUCAAUACAAGUGAGAAGAGAGAGAAUAAGAAAGAGAACAACCUGGAUAUAUGCCCUUUCUCUGCAUCCUGAACUGCUUGACAUACCAGUUGCCAGUAGUAAGGGUCUAGGCCAACAGCAUUUACAAUGUCAUGUAAUUAGUAAAAAAAAAUUAAGUGGAAAAGCAGAAAAAAGGGGAAAAAAAUCUCAUCAACAAAGAAGUUAUACCUCUCCCCCGUUUUGCAAUACAUAUUUCCAAGCUGAUGGCAGAAUCCCAGAAAACCUUGGUGUUUAGUAAGGGAGAAUUCCUGUGUGAAUAAAGUACAAAACAAAAUCAGAUAGAAGGGCUUUAUUAAGAUACUAAGAUGCAAAUUUAGAUUGGAAUGAAAUAGAACUAAAACAAAAUCAGAAAUACCUUCUAUUAAUUAAUGGUAAUUGAAAUAGAAUACUGGCUUUAAGCAAAAUGAAGCACCAGAUAUAAGGCCUCUUGUUGUGGGUUAGGUUCUGCAAGUUUGCCAAGCUGCCCAUCCCUUGGUAGGAAGUGAAGUUGGUGCCACAUUUGAUAGGGCCUUAAAAUUUCUUUUGGACCUGAUUAGCAAAAAAUUGUACAGAUGAAACUGGAAUCACAUGUAAACCCCAAGAUUAAAAAUGAAUGGUGCAUUUAUUACAGCUCCUUUCAUGUGUAGGGCAUUUCCCCUUGCAGAUAUGAAUAAGGUGCAUCAAUGGCAGGAAAUUUCCCUUUUAUCUACAUCAAUCCCUUUUCCUGCCAUCCUAUAUGUACAAGACAUCAUUAUUGGAAAUUGAAAGCAGUAUUUUGAGUUGAAAGUGCCAAAUAUCCAGUUAUUAAACUAUGGUAGGAAGGCCUUGCUUAAGAAAAUAAGGAACAAGCUAAGAACACAAUCAAGAGAGGUGAGUUUUUGAGCACAAAACUGUUUAGCUUAUUGUAGGAAAUGAAGUUGGUGCCAAAUUUGAUAGGGGCCUUCAAACUACUUUUGGACCUGAUUAGCAAAAAAAAUUGACAGUGGAGACUGGAAUUGCAUGUGUAAACCCUGAAAUGAAAAAAGAAUGGUGCAUUUAGUACAACUCUUUCAUGUUUAGGAUAUUUCCCCUUGCAAAUAAGCUGCACCAAUGGGCAGAAAUUUUGCUUUCAUCUACAUCAAUGUGCAACACAAAUUCCAUCAUUAUCAGAAAAUGUAAGCGAUAUUUUUAGUUGAAAAUGGUGAAAAUUGUGUUCUAUCAAAACUUACAAUUCAAUGCAUUAAUAAGUACCUCUGUUUUGGAAGAGGGUAGGGACCUUCCUUUGGAAAAAUAAGGAAAAAGCUAAGGGCACAUUCAUGAGAGUCGAGGUUUUGAGCACAAAACUCCACAACUUAUUGUCGACCACGGCAGCCCCUGAUUACGGAACAAAAGGGAGACUCAAAUAUUACAGAGAAAGCAGCAAUAAGUAAGUAGAACCUUUGAUGGAAGAUUACAAAGAUUUGGGAGUACCUGAUUGAAGCUGUUAUUGUUGUACAAUCUUAUCUAUUUCCACAUAGGGGAUGUGAGCAAUCUUGGGCCAAUCAUUUCCUUUGCCCUUGAGGCACCUCUUUUUUAGAAAUGGACACUUCCAGAUUACAAGUCUUGCAAGUGUUGGUGGUAGCCCUUCCUUUGGUACAAAAGACCGGAGCUUAGGGCAACGGUGGAAUUCAAGCCUUUUAAGAGACAUAAGGCUUCGGAGACCCAUGGAGGUUACGGAUUUCAAGUUGGGGAGAUUUAUCAACCCGAGAUGGGUGAGAGAUGUAGGAAGAAGUAGGUGAGAGCCGGAAAAAGAAAGCAGAUCUGGGAAUGGGCCACGAAUCACGAGCUCAUCAAGUGAGGUGAGUGUGCGGAGGCCCCACCCAGAUAGAGGCCACCUCAUAUUCUCACAAUCUGAAAUAUAAAGUUGUUUAAGGUUGGGGUUCAAAAACGCUUCUGGAGAGGACACCACAUCUGGACAAUUACAUAUGUUUAGAAGUCGAAGAGAUGUGAGAUUUUGCAGCAGAUUCCCUGGAAUCGACUCCAAUUGCUCGCAGUCCCAAAUGGAAAGAAUCUCAAGUGUGGAGGGAAAGUAGCCUCUCGGAAUGGACUUGAGAGAUGGACAUCGGCAUACAUGUAGCUUUUCAAGACGACAAGUGUUGUUGUUGUCAAUUCCCUCAGGUAGAGACUCUAGUUUCUCACAAUUUUCAAUUAGCAGGUUCUUAAGGGUGACAGGUAGCUCCCCUUUCGGAAAGCCAAUAAGAGAUGGACAAUCUCUAAUUUCCACCUGCUCAAGGGCACAACUGUUAAUCAUCAUUCCAUCAGGUAGUGUCUCUAGACCCUCACAAUUUCUCACUCUAAGAUCUCUUAGCAUGGGCGGCAAA